rnacentral:miRNA from 1 species
UGAGAUCACUAUGAAAGCUGG